AUUGAACGCUGGCGGCAGGCCUAACACAUGCAAGUCGAACGGUAGCACAGAGAGCUUGCUCUCGGGUGACGAGUGGCGGACGGGUGAGUAAUGUCUGGGAAACUGCCCGAUGGAGGGGGGUAACUACUGGAAACGGUAGCUAAUACCGCAUAACGUCGCAAGACCAAAGAGGGGGACCUUCGGGCCCGUUCGCCAUCGGAUGUGCCCACGAUGGGAUUAGCUUGUAGGUGAGG
rnacentral:rRNA from 1 species